rnacentral:rRNA from 1 species
AUUGAACGCGGCGGCAUGCUUUACACAUGCAAGUCGGACGGCAGCACAGAGAAGCUUGCUUCUUGGGUGGCGAGUGGCGAACGGGUGAGUAAUAUAUCGGAACGUACCGGGCAGUGGGGGAUAACUAAUCGAAAGAUUAGCUAAUACCGCAUAUCUUCUGAGGAAGAAAGCAGGGGACCAUUUGGCCUUGCGCUGUUUGAGCGGCCGAUAUCUGAUUAGCUAGUUGGUGGGGUAAAGGCCUACCAAGGCGACGAUCAGUAGCGGGUCUGAGAGGAUGAUCCGCCACACUGGGACUGAGACACGGCCCAGACUCCUACGGGAGGCAGCAGUGGGGAAUUUUGGACAAUGGGCGCAAGCCUGAUCCAGCCAUGCCGCGUGUCUGAAGAAGGCCUUCGGGUUGUAAAGGACUUUUGUCAGGGAAGAAAAGGGCGGGGUUAAUACCCCUGUCUGAUGACGGUACCUGAAGAAUAAGCACCGGCUAACUACGUGCCAGCAGCCGCGGUAAUACGUAGGGUGCGAGCGUUAAUCGGAAUUACUGGGCGUAAAGCGGGCGCAGACGGUUACUUAAGCAGGAUGUGAAAUCCCCGGGCUCAACCUGGGAACUGCGUUCUGAACUGGGUGACUAGAGUGUGUCAGAGGGAGGUAGAAUUCCACGUGUAGCAGUGAAAUGCGUAGAGAUGUGGAGGAAUACCGAUGGCGAAGGCAGCCUCCUGGGAUAACACUGACGUUCAUGCCCGAAAGCGUGGGUAGCAAACAGG